rnacentral:rRNA from 1 species
UACGGGGGGGCAAGCGUUGUUCGGAAUUACUGGGCGUAAAGGGUUCGUAGGUGGCCAACUAAGUCAGACGUGAAAUCCCUCAGCUUAACUGGGGAACUGCGUCUGAUACUGGUCUGGCUUGAGUGCAGGAGAGGAACGCGGAAUUCCAGGUGUAGCGGUGAAAUGCGUAGAUAUCUGGAGGAACACCGGUGGCGAAGGCGGCGUUCUGGACUGCAACUGACACUGAGGAACGAAAGCCAGGGGAGCAAACGGG